rnacentral:rRNA from 1 species
CCUACGGGAGGCAGCAGUGGGGAAUAUUGGACAAUGGGGGAAACCCUGAUCCAGCGACGCCGCGUGAGUGAAGAAGUAUUUCGGUAUGUAAAGCUCUUUCAGCAGGAAAGAAAAUGACGGUACCUGACUAAGAAGCCCCGGCUAACUACGUGCCAGCAGCCGCGGUAAUACGGAGGGGGCAAGCGUUAUUCGGAUUUACUGGGUGUAAAGGGAGCGUAGGCGGCAGCGCAAGUCUGGAGUGAAAUGCCGGGGCCCAACCCCGGAACUGCUCUGGAAACUGUGAGGCUUGAGUGUAGGAGAGGUAGGCGGAAUUCCUGGUGUAGCGGUGAAAUGCGUAGAGAUCAGGAGGAACACCGGCGGCGAAGGCGGCUUACUGGACUGUAACUGACGCUGAGGCUCGAAAGCGUGGGGAGCAAACAGGAUUAGAUACCCCAGUAGUC